UGGGGAAUAUUGCACAAUGGGGGCAACCCUGAUCUAGCCAUGCCGCGUGAGUGAUGAAGGCCUUAGGGUUGUAAAGCUCUUUCAGCUGGGAAGAUAAUGACGGUACCAGCAGAAGAAGCCCCGGCUAACUCCGUGCCAGCAGCCGCGGUAAUACGGAGGGGGCUAGCGUUGUUCGGAAUUACUGGGCGUAAAGCGCACGUAGGCGGACUGGAAAGUUGGGGGUGAAAUCCCGGGGCUCAACCUCGGAACUGCCUUCAAAACUAUCAGUCUGGAGUUCGAGAGAGGUGAGUGGAAUUCCGAGUGUAGAGGUGAAAUUCGUAGAUAUUCGGAGGAACACCAGUGGCGAAGGCGGCUCACUGGCUCGAUACUGACGCUGAGGUGCGAAAGCGUGGGGAGCAAACA
rnacentral:rRNA from 1 species